rnacentral:rRNA from 1 species
ACGGAAGGCAGCAGUGGGGAAUAUUGGGCAAUGGGCGAAAGCCUGACCCAGCAACGCCGCGUGAAGGAAGAAGGCCUUCGGGUUGUAAACUUCUUUUACCAGGGACGAAGGACGUGACGGUACCUGGAGAAAAAGCCACGGCUAACUACGUGCCAGCAGCCGCGGUAAUACGUAGGGAGCGAGCGUUGUCCGGAAUUACUGGGUGUAAAGGGUGCGUAGGCGGGACGGCAAGUCAGAUGUGAAAUGUAUGGGCUCAACCCAUAACCUGCAUUUGAAACUGUUGUUCUUGAGUGAGGUAGAGGUAAGCGGAAUUCCUAGUGUAGCGGUGAAAUGCGUAGAUAUUAGGAGGAACAUCGGUGGCGAAGGCGGCUUACUGGGCCUUUACUGACGCUGAGGCACGAAAGCGUGGGGAGCAAACAGGAUUAGAUACCCUGGUA